GAGGGCCAAGCACAUCUAGCCAAGGCAGCCAAAGCCCAAACCAUGAAGAGCGUCUAGACCAAGGAGAGAGUCUAGCUCCAAGGAAUGAGCGUCUAGGACGUGAAGAAGGGAGGCUACCCAUGGAGCGUCUAGAUGUGGAACUAGACCGUCUAGGUCCUCUCACAAGGUCAAUGGCUAAGCAUGUACAAGCACAAGUGGAUGAAGCCACGGAUGGAAGAGAGAAAGCCUUGUAUAUGUUGCAUAAAGGCCCAAUAGGGGUACUUAGUAGAUAGGGUAGUGUAGAAAGCACAUUUGAAGGAAACAUUCUAGAACCUUGCUAGGUGUGACCGGUCAUAGCACAUGGCCUAAGCUUUGCAUUUCAUUUGGUUUACAUUUCAUUAUGUAUUAGCUUAAGAAUCACGGCCAUCUAGCUUAUAAAUAGGGAGGCCAUCUCUUUGUAUUUGCAAGUUUAUUGUGAGUAAAGUUAUGCUGCCCAUUUGUGCUCAACUUUGCUUCUCCCUAGAAUCCUAGGCUCUAAACUUCAAUUCCUUCAUCUUUUCCCUUGGGUUGGCCGAACCACCCAAUACCCAUACUUAACAUGCACCUACAAGAUCAACACCACUCUUAGGAGGAUCUUGC
rnacentral:lncRNA from 1 species